AUGUUGGUGCAGUCGCAUUCCCCUAAUUUUGUUUUCUUAUGUGAAACUCGACAGCAAGUGAACAAGUUGAAAUGAAUUAGGGCGAGACUAGGCCUACAAGGUUUUGAAGGAGUUGAUAGUGAUGGAAUGAGUGGUGGAUUGGCAUUAUUCUGGCAUGAAUCAUGUCAGGUUAAUCUUUUGAGUAAGACUGGUUGCUAUAUUGAUGUGACAGUAAAAACUAGUGUUGAUGGAUAG
rnacentral:rRNA from 1 species